ACAGAUCUUGAGAAAAGAGCCAGGAACUUUAGGAAUGCGGACUUGGUCCAAUUAUGGUCGCUUAUACCUUCGCCAUUUUAACGAGCUUGAACAUGAAUUAGACGCGCGUCUGAAUCGUGCUUAUGAAUACGCAGACAGAUACCUCAGUUCAUUUUCAUCGCCACUAAUGAGUGUCGUUGCAAGGAACAUCUUGUUUAUCACCGGUGGAAUUUUGGUGUUAAUUUUAGCUCUGGGCAUAUACGACGAAUUUGUUUUCCAGGUUGAGCACGUACUAACGAUUAUCACAAUUCUCUCUGUAAUCGGAUUAAUUUGCAG